GGCUCCAGCACCCCACCGUGACCCAGAAGGAUAAGCGGACCACCACAAAGCAGAAACUGACCACUGAUUAGAUCAAGAGGAAAACUAAUGCAAACUGUGCAGCAACAGAUGAGUUAUAGUCUACUGCUUUACAUGUACAAGGUGGAACGACAAGGUAGUUGUGUCUAAAGCAGCAGACAGUGGAAGAGGAGCUAACAAAGUAUGCAGAGAAACAGAUGGACUACAGUCUGUAAUUGUAGAACUACAAAGUGCACCUAUAUGGUACCAGCGACCUGGCUCCCACCUCGCCUGGGUCCCCCAGGACCUCAGAUGGGGGGAAAGAGUACCUUUUCAGUGGAACAGAGGAGAAUCAGUUGAGAUAGAGUUCUUGUCCAAAAGCUAAGUCUGAGGUUUACAGCAAAACAGCCAACAGGAGCUUGGAGGGAAAAAGCUGUCCCACAACAAAAGCCCAGCUCAAGAACCCCUAGAGACCAGAGAAGUUUGGAGCUUUAAAAGGUACGCUCUCUGUCUCACACACACACACACACAUUGCCAUUCGCCUACAAUACAGGUUCCAAACCCUGAUCCUGGAGAACCCUUACGCUGCACAUUUUAGUGUUU